GCAGGAAGUCAUCUGACCGACAGAAGGGACUGAAACAGAAAGAGUUAGAGCUUUGAGGGUAGCACAUACAAGAUUGCUACUGAAGGGAGGUGACAGCCCAGAGGAAUGAAAGCCACAUUAGUGCUUAUCCAAAAAAGAAAAAAAUAUAUUUAUGCAGACAUGCUGACCUUCUUGAUACCCUCAAAUCCAGAAAUUUGCAAGGAACCCCAGGAGAGGACACCUUGCAGGGACAAAGAAAUAAAGUGGAUAAAGACUUUUCACAACAUCCAGAUCAGAGGGUAGCAAUUCAUUCUCUCUUUCUCCCCCAAAAAAGAAAGAAAUACUCAAGGGGAAGUAAAAGAUGUUUAAUUCUUUAUUGAACAAAAUUUCUGGAAAAGAGACUACAACAGUGAAACAUUUGAAUGAAACACAUCUGAUUUUUUUUGCAGGGCUAGUUCCAAGUUUAAUGAUGAUCUCAUAAGGUUUACUCUGACAGUGUAAGCUUAGCAUGGGAUUCUGGGAACUCUGUAAUGGCUUCUCCCUCCUUCCACUGCAGUAUUGUCCAUGCCUGUAGUUUUCUACUGCCCAAGGGUGCAAAUACUGGGCCUUGUUUGGUCCACAGUUAUUGUUUUGACUUGUUUUCCGUCUCUUUUUUAUGGUGCUCCAAACAGCUUCACAGUGGGCACUCAUUGAUUAAUAGUUAGAUGUUUUUUACCAACAGCCAAUUACAGAGCUGAUAUAGUUGCCUGAAAACGCCUGCAUUCAAGUUUUCGUAUAUAGGUUGCAGGACCAGUCACCCAUACAGUCUGCCUUGAACAAGCUGCUCCAUCAGAUAGAUAAAAACAGAAUCUGGUUAAUUGUAACAAAUUUAGGGAGAAGGAACAGUACAAGUCAGUUACGGAGACUUAUCGGACGCUGUGCCGGUUUGCCAUUUAGUGCCAUUUAACAGCUGCACUUUCCCAUCUAAGUCCAGCACUACUUGGUUACAUAUUCAAACAAAUUUAUAGUGUAGCAUUGGCAAAAAGAUUGCUGAAAUGUCACAUAUAGGCCAAUAGGGGAAAGAGGGUAGGAAGUAAUGCAAAGGUUGGGUAAAAGAAAAGGGUCUUAUUUGGAUAAAGAAUUUCCAAAUGAUGACAGUAAAGCUUAUUGUAGAUAUUGUAAAACAGAAAUUCUGGUACAUCAUAAUCACCUGUUGACUCACAGCAAAACUGAAAGCAUCUAAAAAUUAUGUCUCCAUUUUUAAAUAGCAGCACACUUUUUGCCACUGGCAUAAAAAUGGUCAAAUGUGACAACACAGUAAAAACAAGCAAUUAAAAGUGGUAGCACGUGCCAUUCUAGCACCAAAACAGAUCAAUUGGGUAGCUUGUUUACAGAAAUAUCUGAAAAGUCAAUUAAUUUACACAGAAACAAAUGUAAAGCAUUAUUAAAACCAGUAUCUACUUAAGAGGGCUCAUUUACAUCUGUCAGCCCAGUAAGCAAAGUGCAAUUUCAGCACAAUCGCCAUGUUUUAUCCCUACAAUGCACUGUUUUUUUCUUAUCCCCAGGUAUUACUUGAUUAAUAUGCCACAAGUAUAAAGCUGAAAGAAACAGCAAAUGGCACUCAGAGCUGCAAAAAGGGAAUAAACCCUUAAAAAGUUUAUUGCGGUGAGGCAAAAAGUAUUCUGGAGUGCUAGGGUGUGCGGAAGAGGUCUCUCUUGUGCUUGUACAAGUAUAAAGCUGGCCACACACGUGGCUAGCACGAAAGAUCGUUCCAACCCUCCACUGACGUUCAGGGCUGAAUCAUCAGAUAUGGAGGUAGAAACAAUAGGAUUUCUACCUCCUUCUGCUGAUUCAGCCCGCAGCUUAUGCAUUAUGCAUAUGUGUGUGCCAUCACAUGCAUGUUCAUAAUGAGGGAGCUUGGAAGCUCUCUCAUUAAGGGAAUGCAGCGGACAUGCACCGGAACAGAGCUUCUACUCGCUACCAUCAAUUUUUUUCAACUGUAUUGUUUCAGUUUGGGGGGGGAAAACAAAUUACAUAAAAUGUGGGAAAAACAUAAAAUGGGCAGACAAAAAAAGGGUCUUCUUUGGAUAAAGUCAAUUAAUUUACACAGAAACAAAUGUAAAGCAUUAUUAAAACCAGUAUCUGGCUCAGUUGUACACCAGGAACUUAUAGAGGAUAUAGGGUCUGAGACAUAUUCUUUAGUAAUAGGUAACAGUACUGAUAUUUUAACAGGGAAAGAACUUUGUAUUGUUACUAGAUACUACAGCAAUAUCUUGUAGCAAUUCAUUUUUUAGAUUAGAAAAAAAACUGCAUUGGACUUACAACAGAUGUAUGUAAUACAAUGUACAGGAAGCAUCAUUCUGUCCUCAUUAAAGUCAAAGAACAAUAAAUGUGGGCAAAGCUCCUUUAAAGAUCUUGCAACUUUCAGACCCCAGGUAUUUAUCUAUUAGUGCUUGUAUGAAUGGGGUGCUUUAUCAGCACAACAAACUGACACUUCACUUCCAAUUGUCUAAAGACAAUAACAGAAACUACAAUGUUAAACUACUCUAUCAAUUGUACACAGAUUGCGUCAACAAAUCUAUUGAUUUUGCAACCCAUCCUUGCCAAGAACCCAACAGAAUUAAUAAGAUAUUUGAACUUUAGGAUGCAGAUAUCCUUUAAAGCUUCUUGAUAAAUUGGUGUUAAUUUAUCACACUUCUUCAGCGAAAAUUUCAACUUACUGGAGUUGAUUCAAUAAGAUUGUCUUCCAUUUUUGCUUGUGAUUCAAAAGAACAGGUGCAAUCACUUGCCUAUUUUUGAAAUUGAUUUUGGAUGAAAAUUUUAAAUGUAAAUCAAUAGAGUUGAUCUUCUGCCGCUCUGUUUAGACAAAAUCAAAGUCAGCUGUAAAGAUUACCCGUUUAAGUUUAAGAAACAGGUUAGACAAAGACUUCAGUCUAAUAUAGAGUUGCUUCAAUCACAUAUUUUAAGCCACUCUGUUGUACUUGGGCUUAAUAAGCCACAGUUUACAAGCCUUUCAUUUUUACCUUUACAGAGUGGUGAUUUUUAGCACAAAAAUGCAUAUGCAUGUGUUUUGGUGCCAAAAUCCAUUACGUGUGGUUAUACACAGGCUGAAAAACUGUCAAGACACAAUGGGCCCGAUUCACUAAAGUCCGAAAUAAGGAGUGCUAUUUAUA